UUUAAAUCCACCUUGCUUUACACGCAUUGUUAUUGUGUGAGUGUGCGAAUCAUGACUACAUUGUUUACAAUCCAAGAGCUGUACAGUAAACUAAAUAAGAUUGUGCUUUCAAAUAAAAUUGGAUCGAAAAUUGAAAAAGUUUCGUAAUUUGCAUUACAUACAGUGCAUCACGGUGCCGCAUCGUACCAGCAGGUCGAUAAAUGUUGUGAAUGAAGGAACGGCGGUAUAUUAUGAAUGGUUGUUUGAGCAGCACGAUGGCAGCGAAGCGGUGAACCAACGCCACUUUUUUGGGCGGUGUAAGUAAAUGUAGUAGCCACUGAUAACCGACGAGAAUAUUUUGGUGUUGAUGAAGUGUACCUCUGUUUGGAAGGUCUAUUCUACGAACAAUUCAUAUCGCCGGUGAUUAGCUACGAGGUAAGCGGCAUAGGUGUGCUUCUUCAUGCCGUAUGAUUAAAAAUCCCUUCGCCACUGGGACACCGUGUGACGGAACCGUUCAAAACUAGCUUGAAGCUGCGCUAGCUUGUGAAGUCUCUCCCGUCGAAGGUGUGCGCAAGCUACUUUGUACCCCGGCUGCUGGUGAUCUAGGAACGGCAGCUCAGGAUUUGGUAAGAGGCAAACAGGGCAUCAACGCCUAUCGAGUGCAAUUGCAUGAAGAGUGCCUGCUGUGUAUAUGGAGCUUUUCGUUAGCAAGCAUUUAGUUUACUGGACGGGGGUAAAUCAUUAUCUAAGCCAGGAGCUACGGCGGCAUACCGAGUGGUCUCGUUUUCGUUGACGGCUGCUGGAACAAAAAUGCCAAAAGAUGUACGGUGGAAUGCAGAAACGCUAUCUGACGUUCGGGCGGGGAACGAGCAGCAGGAACUUGAAGAAGUUGUCUUGCGCUAGCCAAGAGAGGAGUCAAGUCAUAGACACCAUUAACAAUAUAUCGUUGCUAAAUGCGGAAUCGUACACGGACGCAACGCCGCAGCUGACCCUCAGUUUUGCUUUUGGAUUUGUUACUCGUGCUGUAAGAUGUGUUCAUAGUUUUUACAUAUUCCCUUACGAAAUCUUAUAAACUAUACCGGUUUCCAUUCGAAGAAAGAGGACUACAUUUAAAUUCUGCCAACGAAGGAUCGUUUUGGACAGAUUGACUAUUUUGCCGUGAAAUCUCACAUCGCCUCCUAGUUUGUACCAACAUACACACAUCGAUAUCGUUAAUCGACGUUGUAGGUAUUCAGAUUACAUAAACUGUACGAACUACAUGUUCGUCGUUCCUCUAUUUUUUUUUUUUUUGCGCGGAGUGAAACCUUCCAAAGGCACCCACGAUAUCCAACCAACCGUCCAUAUCGUGGGUAGUGUGGGAUUCAUUGAUCGUAAUCUAUCUGUAUUACAGAUGUAAACAGUUAGCUUACGAUCUAUGCGACCUCACUAAAACACUCCGCGUACCUGUUAGCUUCCUCUUGAAGAUUUGUGUGAGGGUCUUAUUUGAUCGUUAGGACGUCCUUCGCGCUGAUCUCGUACCUGUGAAAACAGUUUGAAAAAAGAAAAGAAAAGAAAAGAAAAAGAAAAGGAAAAGGAAAAAGAAAAAAAAGAAAAGGGUUCACUGUUGCUUCGUCGAGGUUUCGUCUCCUCGACGUGCCUUUUCCGAUGUCUAUGUUUGUACUACUACGUUCCUUCCUUCGUCGGUUUAUGCUUCUCAUUGGGCUUUCAUCAGUGUGCGGCCAGAUGAGAAAGAUGUUUGCGUUCAAUGUUUUAUCCUUGAUGUGCACGUUUUAUGUAUCAUUAGCGUCUAAUUAUUCUUUCGACGUCAAGGCAUCCUAGUUAUCUAGAAUGCCCUCCCCCUUCCUGCUUUGCCAUGCAUCAUCAUCCGCCCAAGGGGUUGGGACUGGGCCCGUGUACCCAAGCUUGGAUAUUUGAUAACACAUCCCAAAUAGCCAGCUCGUACCUUAUACAGUCAGUCCAAAAAGUAUUCGUCUAGCUGAAUAUUUUAAAGAAAAAGGCGAAUUAUGGCCGCAAUGCGUAUGGGGCGAUAAAAGUAAUGAUAAAGGUUUGAUAAAGAGACCAUCAAUACACAUGUACUGUUAAAAAUGAGCAUUAAAAUAGUGCAAUAACAACUAAAUUAUUUAAAAAACUAAAAAAAGUCGUUUGAUGGGCGCGCUAAAAGUAUUCGUCCAUCUAGCUUUUUAAUUAUUUACGCUGGACAAACACUACGUAGACGUGAAUUAAAUGUAUUAUUAUCAAUUUACUGGUGACUUCUUUCUAAAAUAAUGCAUUUCUGUUGUUUCAAUUGCACUUCAACCGGUCAGAGAGGCACUAAAGGCGGGGGAGUUAAAUGAUUGGAGCAUGAAAGCGCAAAUCGUAUCUUUAACUUAUGCAUAACCUAUCCUACCCAUUUUUGAAGGUUACAAAAUGUGUGGAAGGCCUCGUUUCUUCAUUUGAUCAGAGUUUGGCCAUUUUUCUGACACUAAUUGUGUGACAAAUUGCCAUGUAAGCAGCCAUCCUUGACGGUUAAUCUAACGAAAGAAGCGGUUUAAUGCCCGAAAAAUCAAAUUUUACGAAAGAAUCAGUGCAAUUUGUGAUGGCCAAUAAGGUCAGGAGAAUAGAUGGGUCACAUUUGGUUGAUGGGUCAUGCUGCAUUUCAUCGUAGCUGGUCAUGUAAUAGCUGCAAUGAGUGAGUUGUUACAAACAUGUUUUGUUUGAAUAAUACCAUAUCCAGAAAGUGGCCAAAUCUGUUAAGGUGCAUCAAAUAAUUCAGGAAUUUGUUUCAAAUUAGGCUCUACUAACAUAUUAAAACAUGUUUAAAUCGCCAAGGUCAUACGGCCGACGUCAACUGUAGCGAAAACAGUCUACUAAGAUGCAGCAACAAAAUCUCGUGUAACGGUAGCACCAUGGUGUCAUUAUACCAGGGCUCAUGGAGGAAAGGUGAGCUAGAAAAAUGAUUCAAAUUGAUAGGAGACGAGAUGGAGAAAUAUAUUCUUGCAGUUUUUAAGUACUUUGGGUGCAAGUUCUGAGAAAUUGUACUAAAAAAAUACCACAUGUUUCAAGAACAGUCAAGCUGGAGAACAUACAGAGCAUUGUCAUUUGCCCGAAACACCAAACCAACUGAAACCAAACUGAUGAAAAUGAUUUAAUAGACUCUCAAUAUGAUAUCCGUUGCCAUUUUUUUAAUGGCCACGUGGCCCGGAAAUGCAAUCUCUCUACCAGCGAAUAAUUGGAACAAGUCUUGGAGGAUGUGUGGGUCAAAACUACGCCUUUUUAAAGGUUCAAAUGAGUUCUUGCGUUGUGCAAGUAGUCAUCAAUAGUCAUAAAUGCAAUAAGAAACAAGAUCAGGACAUUUUUUUACUCCAUAACCUUUGUUUUCUUACGCAUAUUACGCCAAAAGUCUGAUGGACGAAUACUUUUUGCGCGCCCAUCAAACGACUUUUUUUAGUUUUUUAUGUAUUUUGGUUGAUAUAGUACUAUUUAAAUUCUUAUUUUUUAGCAAAACGUGUGUAUUGAUGGUCCCUUUAUCAAACCCCAUGAUACUUUUACCACCCCAUGCCUAUUGCCUAUUAGUUGAUCAUCUUUCUCAUCUUUUUCCGCGCUUUUGGAUCUUGCUGUUGUGUUUUGCGUUUGCGACUAGUGCCCUCUUUGGCUUCAUUGUUAGUUUUCAUAUUUAGAAAUCGCAUACGAACUAUCACUCUCUGUUUUGCGAAUGUUUUAUGACCUCUGCUGGUAAAUCGACUUGUUUCUGAAUAUUCACCUUUAAUCUUCGAACGAUUGCAGUUUUUUUAUGGAAAGUACCAUUUUUGUGCAAUUUCUUGUGAAUUUUCACAAAUAAUUUGUGCAACCAUCUUUUUGCCAGUGUUUAAAAAUUCGUCGCUUGGUUUGUAAAGUCCUCCCAGAGAUAGAUGCUCCACAAAUGUCGGUGGUUGACAAUAAUUGUGUUCGGAUAUUAUUUUAAAGGUUUGCAUUCCCAUGUUCAAUGCCGGAUAUUUUGCGUUAAAUUUUUUUGCGAGGUAACCCAUUAUGUACUCUAAUCCAUCUGCCUCUUGCUCGUUCAUAGAAGAGAGAUUACUACUCACACUGCUCACUAAAUCACUGUCGUCAUUGGUCACUAAUCCAUUGACCCUUUCCAUAGCGUUGAUAUCUGGGAGACUAGGAUUGAUUCCAGCUUCGGAAAACAUCGUUGCUGCUAGAAAUUCUUCGCUUUGUACAGAUUCAUAUGUGUCGUCGCCAUUCGUUUCCGUCGUUGUGAGGUAUUCAUCCUGUUCCUGAUUUUUUUUUUUCUUCGGUAUCUGUCUGAUUAUGUAAAAUACUUGGAGAUUUGCCGAGUAUCAUAAUUCUUAUUCUGUAUGGACAACUCAGCGGCGAAGGGUGAUCAUAAACCCCUCCUUUUUGUCUAAUCUGUGAGAAAAAGUUUUCUAGCACAUCUUGAUUCAACUGUCAAAGGAAAAUAAUACGCAACGAUUAAACAAAUUGUAAAACAGUUUGAUGGGUGAUUUAAUUGAUAUUUACCUUAUAUGUAGAUAUAAAUUUAAUAUCAUGUUUUUCUUUCAUGUCCUGAUACAGCAUUUGAAGAGCAGUUGUUUGCAUCAGAAUUGAUUUUUGAAAUGUCUGAAGCGAACAUUUUCCGAUAGCAAUUGAAUUAAGCAUCAACUCGCGCAUGUCGUUCAGGGCCUUUAUUUGAUUAUCGUUUCCAUUGUAUGAUUUUUAUAGUCCUCUUUAGCGAGUAAGAAUUUGAUACGCUGAACCAUAAAUCAGCUUUUUCUAUAAAGUCAGCUAGAUCUUUUGCUUCUUCACUAUGUACAUAUCUUCGCAAAGAAACAGAUACUGUGCGCGAUAAAAGUUGUGCUGCUUUUUUCACAUUUUGUUUCUCCUGGCUAGUCAUCUUGAUGUGUCCUUGGUUUAUUUUGAACACAGGAGUCAUUUCUGCAGCCAUACGACCCUCAACUAUAUGUUUAAGGGGCUCAAUUGUUAUUGUCUUAUCAUGAUACUUGAAUCCGUGAUCUACUAGCCAGUUCCUCGUCAACUUUAACAAAUGAGGCACAUCAGGAACAACAUAUACAUUUUUUUUUGUGAUGGGAUGUGGAAAAAAUGGAUUAUUAUAAUCGACUGCUCCCAAUUCUUUCCAACAGCUAGUAUUUGCAGGACAGUUAUCGCUAACUAUGGCGACUACAUUUAUAUUUUUUUCAUUUAAUUUUUCAAUAAUUUCCAUUAUGAUUUCUUUGGUCAUGCUUUGGUCAAAUCCUAUGUAGAUUGGCUGCUUCCAGUUCUUAAAUAGUCCUCUAGCCAUUACUACUUGAACAUAAUUGAACGGUCCCAUUACUUCACCUGCUGCCGGGUCAUAUUCUAAUACGCUUUCUACUUUCAUUUCAUCAAAACUUAGAACACAUUCUCGAUCUUUGUUGCUAAAUGUUGUGGCCGCGGUUCCAACUAAAUUCAAAACGUCUUCUAAGAUGCCUUGCUUUAAGUUAAUUUUUCGUCCAUACCUUUGUAAGGUGGAUGGAGCAGCCAUAGGUACAUUCAAAUCUUUUCCUACGUAACAAUAUGCCCGCGAACUAAAAUAUUUCAAGGUAAACGCCUUGCUAAUUUCCUCUUUGGUCCAUCGUACUCGCUUCUUGUGCUUAUUAAUCAAAUCAAUUUGAUUGCUAGUCAGAGUGUCUCCUAACAUUUUCUUCAUUAUUGGAACUACAUCUGAACUUUGGAUGCUUUCUUUCUGAAUGGUUUCCAAUUUUUUUUUCCAAAUUCACAUUUUGUUUCUUUAAUGCUGUAUUUUCUUGAACAACCGAAUCCAAAUGCUUUUUCAAAUUAUGGUUUGCUGCUUUUAGGUUUUUAGCCUCCUCUAGUUGAGCAGUUAAGGCAGAAAUUUUUAAUUUAAGGAAUUCAAUUUGUUCAUCUUUUUAUUCGCACAUGGCACAUUCUUUCUCACACGACUGAUAUAGCUCAUGUCGGCGUUGCUCUAGAAAAACCUCGUUCAAUUGUUCUUGCUCAUCAUUAGUUAUGUUCGAGCAUGAAAUUACAGAUGGAAUUGCUUUAAACCGAAACACAACACAAACGUAUUAUUAAAAUAAUAAAAACAGUAACAAUAAAUUAUAUACAGAAGUUUAACAGUGUUAAUAUAUUAAUAUUAAUAUAUUUAUAUUAAUGAAAAAAUAAAUAAUUAUUAAUAAAUAAGUUACACGCAUUACAUACGAGAAUCAUACACCUCAAUCGAUACUAAUCCUUUUAUGUUAUGUAAAAUGUUAUGGUUUAGAAACAAUGAUAUAAAUCCAUUCAAUGGCAAAGGUUUGGAAACAAAAAAAGUAAGUAGUACGCUUGCCAUUGGAUUUGCAUGGAUCUUUAUCAUCCGCUUCUCGUUUAAUGAUCGUCAUUUCAUUUCGAGGAUUGUCAAAGUUACAGAAAGGUGGCUAUGGAAUUUUGUAUUAGCCAUUAGGGUAGCCGUUUUUUUCAAAUUUAUUUACAAAUAGCAAAAAAUGCUUAAUAUAAUAUUAAAACACUUGAAAGCAUUCUGCACAUUCUUAAACAUUAACAUAAACUUUUUUUAGACUAAAGUUAUACAAUGUUAGUCAGCGACGUCUGGACAUUCGGACAGCUCCAUGUUCGGCAUUAUGUUGCCCUAAGUGACGCAACGUGUUGGAACAUAACCACCGGAUAGACAGAUGGCCCCACGACGACCAGAGACCGGGAGUUCAGCUUUAACCGUCGACCAGUUUGGUUCAGUUUUCUAGUAAAAUUCCAUAUUUUAAAAUUAAUAAAUUGUAAUAAUUAAAAAAAGCAACUAAAAACUAAAGCAAAUACUAUCAUUAUAUCUAAUAUACACGUACAGACACACAGGCAGACUGACAGACAGACAAAAAUAAAUGCAAGAAACAUUAUUUAACUUUGAUUAUUAAUAUUCUAAGCGACAUUUGCAUAAAAAAACUGAUUAAACAUACUUUAAAAUUGUAUGAGAAGCAAACCAUGUAAACAAGUUUUUAAUAUUAUUACCCGAUAACGUUGAAAGAUAUUUUAAAACUAUGAUAAAGCAAACUGAAAGAAACUGUGACUCUAAAGACACUACGGCAUAAACAACCAACUACUACGGCCUAAAUAGGUGGCCUAGCAGUGGUCGAAGAACUGAAAAGCAAAUGGCACCAGUUAAAGGAAGCAUGCAGCAGCCUUCCUCGUUCUACGCCAUUACAAUUUUCUUGUUUAAUAUAUAGCUACGUGGCUAGCUACCGCCAUGACUACACGUGCACCCCAGCAGCACUAACGUAACGCUAAUGUGUGGCGCAGCCGGCAACAGCAACCUGAUUCCGGCGAGUGACCAGGCGCAUCCGAUAAGAACAUCAGCACUAAUCGAAACAGUCAGCCAGCCAACCAGCCAACCAGCCAACCAGCCAGCCGGCCAGCGAGCCAGUUAACGAUCAGUCAAGCUCCAUACCGACAGCUUAGUUCUGUUUUAGCACUCCACUAGUAAAGAAAAACAUUUUUUAACUUAUUUACUCGCUCGUGUCUUUAGUUACACACUUGUCACCGAACAUUCAUUCGCGAGGAAAGCUAUUAAUUACUAAUUCUCUCUCCCCUCAUCUAGAUUUUUGUGACCGCUUAGGUUUUGAACUAGUGAUACGCGGGUAGUCCCCCCCCCAUUAGCAACUCUAAGUGGUUGGAGCAGCGAAUACGGGUCGCUCCAAAGUAGGUUCAAGAUGCCACGCAAACUGGAUGAACCAACGGAUCGGAAUCGCAUGUUUUUUUUACUCAUGCAUCUAGUAUUAAAUCUGGGACACCCGAACUCGUUCUACCAACAGAAAGGAUUUCGUAACGACUGAACUUGCGCACACGCCGCAGCCACGGGUUAGAAUUACCACCGGUCCCUUAUUCUAGAACUACAAAUGCUACGCACUGUGCGAAGAUACAUUUUCGAUUAUUAAUGUACGCAUUUAAAAGCAGAAUUCACAUAAUCUACAUUAUAAAUAAUUACUUCUAAUUAUAUCAUAUUCAAUGAAAACUAGAAAAGUACUUACCCUCACAUUUUAAUUUCCGCAAUGCUGUAGUUUUCAUCAUAGGAGCGUUGUGCAGCUGAUAGUCCUGGGGCUGAAAAUGAGAAGAACAAAUAAUGGAAAAAUUGGUAGAUUCCCAGCCUUCGCCACGGUUACAAAAUUUCUUCCAGAGACUGCGUAACACAGCAUCUUUCGGAAAUUUAUGGAACACAACAUCCAAUCCCAGCUUUUUUACUUUGCAACGGCUGUUGCUACAUGAAAUUACUGAACACGCGGUAGGCAUGACGAGUAAUAAAUGUUCAGAUAUAUAAUUUUUUUUUCUAAAAAAUGAAACACUAAAUCUGUGAUGAUAGCGCGGAUUGGGAGUUGUUUAUGCUGAGCAUGAAAAGUGAGUAGGUAAAUAUGGAAUUUAACCGCCAAAAAUGAUACCUAUACAUUUAGAGCUAGCGAAACAUAAACAAUCCACCAAUACAGGCUCAUGCGGAAAACCAUCUGUCAAAAUCGGUGUCCAAGGGGGGGGAUCGCCAAAAGCGCUAUAACUACACCACAUUAUACAUUCCACCUUGGACUCUGGUUAAUUUUUAACGACUGUAAUUUUUGAACCAUUUGUUUCGCGAGUCCGGCUAAUGUUUUUAUUUUCGUGUUUACACCUUUCGUAACAUACACAGCUAUUCUAUUGCGCCAUCUAUUGGCUCUUGUUGUAAUCUUGAGAAAACAGAAAGAUUCUGCGAAAGUUUAACUCGAAUCAGCUCUAAUGGGUCACAAAUUCGAUUUUAGAAAGCUUUGGUGCUCCUGGUGUGGUGCUAUAAAAUGGCUACUGAGCAAUUGCUACGGCUUUACCUGUGCGAAGGAUUGAUAUAACCUUUUUAAAUACAUGCAUAUUUGGGAUUUUAUAAAUAAAAUAAAGGUACACAGGACCAUACAGUGUGACUAAUCUAGUGCAAAUGAUUCUAUGUUGGCCAUUGUAACUAUUUAACGCUUAGGUUUUGAACUAGUGAUACGCGGGUAGUCCCCCCCCCCCCAUUAGCAACUCUAAGUGGUUGGAGCAGCGAAUACGGGUCGCUCCAAAGUAGGUUCAAAAUGCCACGCAAACUGGAUGAACCAACGGAUCGGAAUCGCAUGUUUUUUUUACUCAUGCAUCUAGUAUUAAAUCUGGGACACCCGAACUCGUUCUACCAACAGAAAGGAUUUCGUAACGACUGAACUUGCGCACACGCCGCAGCCACGGGUUAGAAUUACCACCGGUCCCUUAUUCUAGAACUACAAAUGCUACGCACUGUGCGAAGAUACAUUUUCGAUUAUUAAUGUACGCAUUUAAAAGCAGAAUUCACAUAAUCUACAUUAUAAAUAAUUACUUCUAAUUAUAUCAUAAUCAAUGAAAACUAGAAAAGUACUUACCCUCACAUUUUAAUUUCCGCAAUGCUGUAGUUUUCAUCAUAGGAGCGUUGUGCAGCUGAUAGUCCUGGGGCUGAAAAUGAGAAGAACAAAUAAUGGAAAAAUUAGUAGAUUCCCAGUCUUCGCCACGGAUACAAAAUUUCUUCCAGAGACUGCGUAACACAGCAUUUUUCGGAAAUUUAUGGAACACAACAUCCAAUCCCAGCUUUUUUACUUUGCAACGGCUGUUGCUACAUGAAAUUACUGAACACGCGGUAGGCAUGACGAGUAAUAAAUGUUCAGAAAUAUAAUUUUUUUCUAAAAAAUGAAACACUAAAUCUGUGAUGAUAGCGCGGAUUGGGAGUUGUUUAUGCUGAGCAUGAAAAGUGAGUAGGUAAAUAUGGAAUUUAACCGCCAAAAAUGAUACCUAUACAUUUAGAGCUAGCGAAACAUAAACAAUCCACCAAUACAGGCUCAUGCGGAAAACCAUCUGUCAAAAUCGGUGUCCAGGGGGGGGGGGGGGGGGAUCGCCAAAAGCGCUAUAACUACACCUCAUUAUACAUUCCUCCUUGGACUCUGGUUAAUUUUUAACGACUGUCAUUUUUGAACCAUUUGUUUCGCGAGUCCGGCUAAUGUUUUUAUUUUCGUGUUUACACCUUUCGUAACAUACACAGCUAUUCUAUUGCGCCAUCUAUUGGCUCUUGUUGUAAUAUUGAGAAAACAGAAAGAUUCUGCGAAAGUUUAACUCGAAUCAGCUCUAAUGGGUCACAAAUUCGAUUUUAGAAAGCUUUGGUGCUCCUGGUGUGGUGCUAUAAAAUGGCUACUGAGCAAUUGCUAUGGCUUUACCUGUGCGAAGGAUUGAUAUAACCUUUUUAAAUACAUGCAUAUUUGGGAUUUUAUAAAUAAAAUAAAGGUACACAGGACCAUACAGUGUGACUAAUCUAGUGCAAAUGAUUCUAUGUUGGCUAUUGUAACUAUUUAACUUACGACAGUUGUUUUCUACUACAUAAUAGGUUGAAUUUUCGGAUACAUCGUGUGUAGGAAUCAACAACAUUUCCAAUAUGAGUCAAGCAGCGAUAAAUCCCAAUGAAAGUGUUAAGUCUUCGGGAGGCGACGAAAUCGAAAAUGUGAAUUUAACCAUGCUACACCUUUGCAAAUUGUUUGAAGAAUACAUCAAUUUGAAAAAAAUAUUGUCCGAAAAUGAACGAGAUGUAAGACUGUAUCAGAUGCUACCGUUAUAUUGCAAUGUGGCGAAAAAUGAAAAUCUGGUGAACGAAAAAACUCCAACUUUUGGAUCGCCCCGCUUAUUAUCGUGGGAAGGACAUGCUGUAUUUUGUCAACAAAUCAGUCAGUUGUUAGCCAGGGAAAUCAAAACAAGGGGCCCCGUGCUAGUCGAA